AGAGUUUGAUCCUGGCUCAGAGCGAACGCUGGCGGCAGGCCUAACACAUGCAAGUCGAACGGAUCCUUCGGGAUUAGUGGCGGACGGGUGAGUAACACGUGGGAACGUGCCCUUUGGUUCGGAACAACUCAGGGAAACUUGAGCUAAUACCGGAUGUGCCCUUCGGGGGAAAGAUUUAUCGCCAUUGGAGCGGCCCGCGUCUGAUUAGCUAGUUGGUGAGGUAAAGGCUCACCAAGGCGACGAUCAGUAGCUGGUCUGAGAGGAUGAUCAGCCACAUUGGGACUGAGACACGGCCCAAACUCCUACGGGAGGCAGCAGUGGGGAAUCUUGCGCAAUGGGCGAAAGCCUGACGCAGCCAUGCCGCGUGAAUGAUGAAGGUCUUAGGAUUGUAAAAUUCUUUCACCGGGGACGAUAAUGACGGUACCCGGAGAAGAAGCCCCGGCUAACUUCGUGCCAGCAGCCGCGGUAAUACGAAGGGGGCUAGCGUUGCUCGGAAUUACUGGGCGUAAAGGGAGCGUAGGCGGACUGUUUAGUCAGAGGUGAAAGCCCAGGGCUCAACCUUGGAAUUGCCUUUGAUACUGGCAGUCUUGAGUACGGAAGAGGUAUGUGGAACUCCGAGUGUAGAGGUGAAAUUCGUAGAUAUUCGGAAGAACACCAGUGGCGAAGGCGACAUACUGGUCCGUUACUGACGCUGAGGCUCGAAAGCGUGGGGAGCAAACAGGAUUAGAUACCCUGGUAGUCCACGCCGUAAACGAUGAGUGCUAGUUGUCGGCAUGCAUGCAUGUCGGUGACGCAGCUAACGCAUUAAGCACUCCGCCUGGGGAGUACGGUCGCAAGAU
rnacentral:rRNA from 1 species